rnacentral:rRNA from 1 species
CCUACGGGUGGCAGCAGUAGGGAAUCUUUCACAAUGGGCGAAAGCCUGAUGGAGCAACGCCGCGUGCAGGAUGAAGGCCUUCGGGUUGUAAACUGCUUUUAUAAGCGAGAAAUAUGAUGGUAACUUAUGAAUAAGGAUCGGCUAACUACGUGCCAGCAGCCGCGGUCAUACGUAGGAUCCGCACCUUAUCCGGGGUGACUGGGUGUAAAGAGUUGCGUAGGUGGCAUAAUAAGUAGCUAGUGAAAGCUGGCGGCUCAACCAUUCAGACUAUUAGCUACACUGUUAGGCUCGAGACCGUUAGAGGUAACUAGAAUUGCAAGGGUAGGAGUGAAAUGCGUAGAUAUUAGAAGGAACACCAAGAGCGGAGGCAGGUUACUGGGAGGGGUCUGACACUAAGGCACGAAAGCGUAGGGAGCAAACGGGAUUAGAUACCCCGGUAGUC